CCUACGGGAGGCAGCAGUGGGGAAUAUUGGACAAUGGGGGCAACCCUGAUCCAGCCAUGCCGCGUGUGUGAAGAAGGCCCUCGGGUUGUAAAGCACUUUCAGUGAGGAAGAACGCCUGGUGGUUAAUACCCAUCAGGAAAGACAUCACUCACAGAAGAAGCACCGGCUAACUCCGUGCCAGCAGCCGCGGUAAUACGGAGGGUGCGAGCGUUAAUCGGAAUUACUGGGCGUAAAGCGCGCGUAGGUGGCUUGAUAAGCCGGUUGUGAAAGCCCCGGGCUCAACCUGGGAACGGCAUCCGGAACUGUCAAGCUAGAGUGCAGGAGAGGAAGGUAGAAUUCCCGGUGUAGCGGUGAAAUGCGUAGAGAUCGGGAGGAAUACCAGUGGCGAAGGCGGCCUUCUGGACUGACACUGCCACUGAGGUGCGAAAGCGUGGGUAGCAAACAGGAUUAGAUACCCUGGUAGUC
rnacentral:rRNA from 1 species